UUUAACCAAGUUUAAAUGGUCUACUCCUUCGCCAGAUUGUCAAGUGCAAUUUCAAAGUUAUAAGCUUAAGUUCCCGAGAAGUAAGACAGCAAGGAGUCAACAUAUACAAAGAUGCAACUCAAGAAAGAGAAAAGAAAUUAUUCUAUUUGGUGUUUUUGUUUUUGCUACCCACGGGUACAAAACAUGGAGGAUGGCUUUGGCUAAAAAUUAUAUGAAAACUUAUUGGGGAUAAAGUCCAAGAAAAAGGAGAAAAUGGAAAAGAUGGUUUGUAAAGAAAAAGAACUCCAGAAAAAGGGAAAGGAAGAAAAUGUGUUGUUCAAGAGUUCCACCUAAAGUCCUUUAUGCCAAGAAUUUGAAAGAUAAGAAAAAAAUGGAAAAGAUGGUUAGGAAAAGGAAGCCAAAACUUCCCUUGACCGACUCAUGCUUGGUCCAAUUCCACAAAAGAAAAAUUCUUCAAAUCAACUUUUAAUAAAGACAAAGGAAAAGAGGAAGACAUCUUUCGAAGGACUUAAGUGUGACUAUCAUUUUUUAUCAAACAUUGGGUCAAAAAUAUUGACCAAGCAUUGAUAUGAAACUUACAGCUGCUACAAGACAAAAGGAGAGAAAGAAAAUUUGCCAACCUCUAAAUACAUAAGCUAAAGGAUAUUUGUUUCCUUACCACGGAAAAGUUGGAUUAAAAAGGGUUCAAGCUGUCUCAAGUUCAGAAAAAAAGGAAAAGUUUACUGUCAAACCUUCCAAAUUAAUCAGAAAACUCACCCACAUGGCAGCCUUUAUUUUAACACCCAAAGAACUAGAAGACAAAUCAAGACUACAAAAGAUUUUGGGAAAGUAUCAUUUUAUGCAAGUGUUAAUGAGAAAAGAAUGGCAAGUAUUGAAGGCAAAACAUAAAUGGGAACACAAAAGAGGUAUCCAAAUGCAAGUGUUAAUGAGAAAAGAAUGGCAAGUAUUGAAGGCAAAACAUAAAUGGGACCACAAAAGAGGUAUCCAAAUGCCCACUGUCAAGACCAGUCAAAUAAUCCUUUAUGCGGAAACAGAAAUGCCAGAGAGUGAUAAUACAUCAAAACCCAUUCAAAAGUAUAGCAGAUACCAUGAGCACGUUACUACAAAUUUCUGAAUGCAGAAUCUCACCUUUGGAGCCAUGAGUCAACACUUGUUUUCAACGAACUCAGUAUUGCAAAUGGUGUAUCCAACAACCAAGCCUGCGACGCCUACACAAAAAAUUUAUCACAGUUCAGAGCAGCUUCAACCCACUCCAAAUCAAGUACAGAAAAUAGAAAACAAAAAUGGAAUGACCUGCUGGAUAUUUUCUCCUUUUCGCUUUGAAUUUUCGGUACACAAGAGAAGCAUAAGCAAGAUGGUACAGCAGAAAGAAAAGAGAGCUCGUGGCCUACAUAAAAAGGUCUCUACAGUUUAAGGAAAGAAGAUAAAUUAGAACAAUUCAAAAGAGUUUGAAUUCCACCAAGCUUACCCAUCUUCGUUUGGAAAUCAACGGCUGACAAAUCCAAAAGGAAUUUUAAAAAAAUAUGGCGAAAUCAACAGGAGCUCAAAUAUUGUGGAGCUGCCUUUAGCUUCUGGUAGAAGAACAUUGUGCGUCAAGAGCCAAGGAAAAAAGAGGAUUCCUUUGAAACCAUCUCGCAAGCAGAUGGGGUGAAUUAACUGAACCCUUCACGUGGGAGUCUGCUCAAAGAAAAGUAAAUAUUGAAGACCCACUUCGCCUUCAAGUCUCAGCCACAAAAAAAAAAGUGAAAAUUGUACCCCACAUGGGAGUGCUCACGUGAAGAAAAAGGGAGUGGUUGAAAUUGGAAGUCCUAUUAGAACUUGAAGCCUUAAAAUCACAUAAAAAAAAAAAAAAAAAAAGCAAAGCCUGCUGUCAGAUUUAAUGAAAACUUGGGUCUUGGAUUAAAUGGGUUCAAAAUCCCAUGACAAAUGGGUUUGAAAAUUCAAAAGCAAAGUU
rnacentral:lncRNA from 1 species